UUCUUGAGUGGUUAACUCGCCCCUGUCUAGUGACACGUCCUGGUGACUGAGGACAAGUGGAGAAUUCUGGAAGGGUGCCUCCUAAUCACCCACAUACUGACCUGGGGCCCAGGUCUCCUAUGAGACGGUUCUAGGUGGUCAGGAUACGCCAGGGGACAGAACACACGAAGAUCCCUGCUUUUCAGGGACUUAGGUUCCAGGAGGAGGAGACAGAUCACGAUAGACAACAAGCACAGGCUGGGAAGUGGUGUGGGGAGUCAGGAGGAGGUAUGUGCAGUGUGAAAAAGGAACAGCAGAGCAAGGAUGAGCGGGCGUGGCAAGGCCUGCACUUCACAGAAGUCGGUCAGGGAGGCUUCGUGGACAAGGCGACACUUGAACAGCAGCCCAAGAGAGUUGGGUGGCAGCUGGUGACCCCGGGCGGGCGUCCUUCUGGUCUCCCACAAACACACAGAGGUCUGCCUUGGACCACAGGGAAAUCACCCCCCAGACACCCCUAUGAAAGGUGGGAGAACAGGAGUUUGGCAACGUCCCUCUCUCUCAGCUAGAAGCGAAGUUGAUAAAAACUGGGAAAUAACUUAGCAAAUAUUAAAAUUUUUCCAGUAAUUUUUCAAGCAUUAAGUCUUUUUUAAAAAUCUCUAGAAACCAUAAUACGCAUUUUGGACAUUCUCCUGUAAGCUAGUCCAUCCGUGUUUGCAGCAGCGGGAUAAACUGCUACUAGUGACUGGUCAGUAGUAUGGAUUCAGGAUAAUGUACGGAGAAACGUAACCUCUGGGAAGGAAACUGGGAAACGACAGGAUACACGUUAGCGUAACGCCUGUGCGUGGGAAGCAUCCGACCUCUGCCUCACGCGGCCCACGGACCUCAGCUCCACCGCGUGCCCGGCGCCCGCCGCUCCUGGCCGCGCGGCUCGCAGCACUGGACCAAGUCCUGUUCCCGCCUCACAGGCCAUCUGUCCUCACCGCCUCUGAGGCAGAGGCGGCCACUUCACUUUCUGGCCCCAGACUCACACCUGUCACAGAGCUUGUUUAUCUGUUACAUGUGUUUUCCCCUCAACUGGAAUGUUCACCCUCUUCAGGGUUUGGACCGUGUCCCUUUGUGAUGCAACCCCAGGGGCCAGCACAGGGCCUGGCACAGGGGAGGCCCAGGAAUACGUCGGGCUACAGAUGUGUUCCUGGUGGGUUCUCUGACAGCUCUAAAACGAGAUUCCGCUCACUAGGAGUACCCGACGCCUGGACAGGCAGGAGCGCUGACAGUUUGCUGAGGAAGUUGACUGAGGUCCUGCCCAUAACUGACCGUGAUCUCAGUCUUCUCUGCCGCCCACGAGGGCAGCUCAGUUGUGGGGCCUUGGCUACAGAUGACCUGUUGGUCUCAGCUGCUCACUGAAUUUUUCUUGGCCAAUAAAUCCAUCUAUUUCCAAACCCUUUCUGCUUCCCUCCUCAUCCAAGAAUAUAAAGCCAUUCCUUAUCAAAAUGUUAUUCCUGGCCAUUGCCCUGCCAGAGGUGUGAAGACUGCAGCCCGACCCUGCCGGGGAACAGGGCAGAACCGCUGAGGUGACAGGACGCUGGCCGCACGCGCGGCCUGCCCUUCCUCCUCGUGCUCAUAGGACCGCACUGAGCUGCGUGCAGCUGAGCACAGGGCAGCCGGGUGGCGCCGCAGGUCCAGGGUCUGCGACGCCCAGAGCUGCAGCAGCCAUGUUGUGAGCAGGAGGGAUGAGCCUGAGGACGAGCAAGUGGCGAAGCAGAAAGAAGGACAUCCCGCACCAGCACACCAACCCCAGGGCCACUGCAGCUCCGUAUCUGAGCUCAGGAGAUAAUUACCUUCAGUGCGUAAGCCACUGUUACCUGCAACCAAAGCACACUCAUACAAACUGAGGGGACGUUCAUCUUUUCUAGUCCCACUCCCCUUGUUUUACAAGCCAGGAAACACAUACAGGGUCUUUGAGUAACAAAGAAAAUAGAAGAACUGUGAACAGACAACCAGGUCCUACUGCACAGCACAGGGAACUAUAUUCAGUGCCGUGUGACAGCCUGUAAUGGAAGAGAGUCUGAAAAGGAGCAUACGUGGGUGUAACCGAACCACCGUGCUGCGCACCAGAAACCAGCGCGACACUGCAAACCGACUACACUUUAAUUAGAAAAAACAAAACAAAACAAAAGAACCAGAGACCAGAGCUAAGGCAGGACUUCCGGGCCUGUGUUCCUCAGGCUGCUGCUUCUGUUACGUGACUUUUUUAAGCAACGUUAGACGUGGAUUAACUAAUCCCAGGGGGUGGCUUCCUGCUAGAGUUCAAAACAACAAGCGAAGUCCACCCACAUCUGAACCUCUCAGAGCUGCAGGGUCCCGCACCCGUGAAAGACGGCUUUCAUGCUAACCUGUCCCAGGUGAGGGCUUCAUCAGGGCAGCUUUCUCUGGGGACCCCCAUCUCGGCCUUUCUGCCGAAGGUUCACUACUCCACUCAGAUUCUUCCUCCGUCCCGGGCGCCCUGCUCGGCACCGGGAGCGUGAUCCACAGCCCUCAGGGGCCGUGACGCCCGUAGAGGAGACAAGAUGAACAGGUAAAGAGGCAGACGUGUACCUGCAAAUCAGAGUGAGUCUGGCCAAAGCAAACAAACGGUGCAGAUCAGAGAAGAACCGGAGGGCCCUGGACACGGGCUGUCAGGAGGGCCUCUUACGCAGAGCUGACGGCGGGGGAGUGAGAAUUUUGAGAAGGGGGGUGAAGAGCGUUUCUGGCAGACAGAACAGAAUGUGUCAGGCUUUCGGGCAGGAAAGGAUUUUACUUUCCUAGAGAAGCAAAAGGAAACGUGAAUGAGCCUCAGAUAAAGUGGGAACAGUUCCCAGGCCGUGGGAAGGAAGCCGGAUUCUGACCCUUGACAGCAGCGGGAAGCCCCUGAGGGCCCUGACUGAGGUCUCGUGAAGCUCCCAGUCUGGAGACUGAGUGUCAGGAGAGCAGAGCCGUCAGGACACUGCUUCAGCGGUGACGGCAGGAGAGGACGCUGACGCACCGGGGACAGGCGCUUUGGGAGCAGGAGCAACAGGUCCUGACGAUGGACUGGGUGUCGGAAGACGAGGAACAAGGCUCGAGGGAGCAUUGGAGAAGAGGCUGAGGACCAGGGACGUGGUGACAUCCCACAGAGCACAGGGCGUGCAAGGCGAGGUGGGGCGUGGGCCCAGUCCACCGGGGGACACAGAGCUGUGGGGGUGAGAAUUAAGCAAGUUGUUUUCUGAGGACCUGAAAUACUUGGCUAAUGCGGAAACGUCAAACCCGCAUCGCCAUUUUCAUCUUAAAUGUGCCAGUGGUACUUGAAAUUGUGCAGUGGGGGGACGAGAGUUCGCCGUCCAUUUCAUCAUCCCAGACAAGCUCUCCUUCCUGACGUCCUGCUCGCCGGCAGGCGCUUUCCCAUCCCAGCGGCCUUUGAACCACAUGACCAAACGCCAGGUGUGGGAGACACAUGCCUGCUAAGCCCUCCCGGCCGCACGGGACACAUCCGAGCGCUGAGCGUCCGCAGCCCGAACACCUCGUGUGCCUGGGACGGCACAGCUGCGUGUCCUGGUCCCAGAUGUGGAAGCUGAGGCGCAGAGGUUCAGGGACGCCCUUGCUGCCUCUGCACCACCAUGGGGUUACAAACCCAAUCUAACUGGGUUCCAGCUUCGCCAGGAGCAGUCACUGCCCUGCCCGGGACGCCACGGCCCUUCUCACACAGCCCAGCCUGGGCAGCAGCUUCCUCCCCAGGCACGUCUGCCCUCCUCGGAGUGCUGUCCGAGGCGCUGCGAGCGCCCCGCCCCAACUCUGGAGCCAGCCCGUGGGAACUGGAGACUUGGAGGAAGAGGCCUCUGCCGCCCUCCUGGCAGGCAGUUCUUAAAAGGCGGCAGAGAGACUCUCCAACUCUUUAUUCUGUCGGCGGACACAGCCAGACCCAAGGAGAGGGCUGGGCUCCAGAGGCGGAAGCAUGAUCAGCACCGGAGCCGGGGCUCCACAACGGCGGGUGUCAGCGGCCCCGAGGCGUAUGCCUGGGCCCCGGCACAGGUGGCACAGGGCCAGGGCGCCGCGAUGCCCCUGCACGGGGCGGGAAGCCGGGGGGGACGACCCCCGGGGCUCUGGUCACCUCCCACCGUGCCCUCUCUUUGCCCACUUCCAGCUGGGCCUCUGUCCUCUCCCAGGUGCCCGGCUACCCCGGCUCCCCAGGCCCCACCUCUGCUCCCUGCCUGCGGUCCCCACCUUGCUCCCCAGGUACCGGUGGCCUCAGAACCUGCGUGUGUGUGUCCCCAGAUCAUUCCUGCAAGGCUGGGAAAGUGUCCUUUCCUACAUCUGCCCCUGGCAGGUCCCUGCUGUGCUGUGGCGCUGUGCACGGCGGUGAGGCCUGGGAGCCGGACACACGCCCCAAGUGCAGAGACGAAAGUGAAAGGCAGUGUCCAAACGACCACAGGAAACACAGGCGGCUUGGUCAUUCCAAGCAAGCGGCAGCCGCUCCAGGCACACAGCAGGGCGCUCCGGGGAAGCGCAGGCCUCGCCCACAGCUCAGAGACCGACAGGCAAGCAGGCACGUGGAGGGCGCAGCGCUAGGGUGCAGGGUGGACAGAGAGGUUAGGGGUUGCGUAAUGGAAGGGGACCACCAAGCCUGCCUGACGAGGACUGGCCUAUUUCCGGGCCAGGGUCCCCUCCUCCGCUGGCUCGGCAGCCCUCCGCUCAGGCCAGGCCGCCUUCUCAGCCUCCGAAAUCAGAAUCCCCAGCUCUCAGGGUGCCCUCAGCCCAGCAGAUCCCAAAGGGUCUCCACCCUGGACGGUGACACCACGCGGGGCCAGUCCCAGCGAGGGCUGGAUAGACUCUGAGCUCUGUCAGCAGAAAGCGGGGUAACAGUGGCCGCAGGACCCCAUGCUGCCGGGUCUUUAAACACAGAUACGUCGCGCAGAGAGCCCCCUGUGAACGCAGCUCACUGAGCACACGUGGAGUUCUGUUCUGCUGCUUAAAAUGCUGACUGCUAAGUUUAGGGACCUUUUCCUUUCUGUUCUGUCUCAAGUUUCAUGCCUCUGUAAUACAAACGCUUCUGCUGUAAAGCAGUAUCUACAUUCUCAGAAAACUUCAUGUUCUCUGAAAUUACACCCAGAUACAAUAACAGGACUUACGUGAAAACGGGGUUAGGGCCGACCACUCAAAACCUACAAAAUGCUGUAACCAGAGCUCUGACAAAAAGAAUGACUUGCAGCACCCAGGCAGGCGGGGUCAGCGGGGCUGGAGGCUGCCUCGGUGCAUAUUAAAAAUGUACCCAAAACGUCUAAUGGACACUGGCAAGACUGUAACUAGAGCAAGGCUGAUAGGUGCCAAGACAAGGCAGAUGACAGCAGAGUUCCGAGCGGGGCCUGUUCCCAGGCUGGCGGCAUAUGCCCAGCAGGCACUGUGGCCGAGCCUGGCAGGCUGGGGCGCAGCUUUCUGACGGAGAGGCCCAGGCAUGGCAGCGUUUUGCUCCUGUUGAUCCUGGGAGCCCCGAGGCCCUCCUGCUGCACAGCUGUCAAGCCCUGGGCUUCUCUGUCUCCUGCUGAAGCUGGGGACGCCAGCCCCACUGUCCCAGCUCCGUACCCCGGGGCAGAAUCCCAGAUGAGCCACACCACAAGGCUUUGCACUGUACCGACGUCCCACCCCUGCUCUCCUGUCACCCGGAAGCAGGCCGGUCCAUACGGAGGUGCACCACCAUGUGCCCGGUGAACCCUGAUUCCCGCAUCACCCCCGUGCGCCGCCCGCUGAGCCGUGCGCUCCUCACCGCAGAGACUCUGCCUUAGUACCAUGCAUCCAGAACACCUAACCCUGGGCCAGCAGGCCAACGGUGAGGAAGGGCCCACGUUUCUGAGAAAGGAACAGGACGCUGGGCUCUCGGCACACGCACACGCUGCACACCGUCCUGGCGGCGCUGAACAAAGCAAGCUGUGGGUGUGUGGUUGCACCCCCAGCUUCAGCUGAGAGCUCAUGAAGGCCCUCUGUGCAACAGGGACUUUCUCUUGCUCAACAGCUGGUUGCUUCCCACUGAGUUAACGGGGCUUAUAAACACUGUCUGGAACAGAAGAAACAGAAACUCUGCAGGGCACCGUGUCUAUUAAAGAAACAGCACAAAAAGCUUCCCCCACAGAAAGCUGAAGACCCAGACGACUCCACUGAUGAACUGCAGCAAGAGCAGGAGAAACCAAUAAAACCACUUCCACACAGAAAGAGCUGUUUGGCUCUAUUUAUACGAUGAUCUGCGCGUGGGGAGAAGUCUCUGCGCUGCCGUUUGUGGUAAAUGUUGGGGGCAGCCUGUCUCGUCUCUACGGCCUGACCUCAUCAGGGCCCUGGCCUGUGGGGCCGCCUGCGGCCAGGACACCACCUGCCCAGCCACCAGGCAGCAGGCCGCCAGAGCCGGCCUUUCCGCUGAGCUCCGAGGAGGCCCGGACCCUCGGCCACCCUGGCCCCUGGGGGUUCUCGUCUCCUCCUGCAGUCAGACCUGCCUGCACCCCGGCGGCGGCCUGGCCAGGGCCCGGGCUGAGCCCACAGGUGCAGGCGGUAGGAGAGGUGCCGCCGUCCUUCCCAGUCACCCAGGGCCAGCAGACAAGGAGCAGGCAGCAGAAGGGACGGCUGGCAGCCCUCCCCACCCGCGUGCGAGAGGACGCUGUCCAGUGUGGCCUGACAGUGACUAGCCCCCUGGAGACUGAGGGCGGGGCGGGACCAGGCCCCCGGGUCACCUCUCAGGCUGUUCUUUGACCCAGCUCACACAUUGGUCUCCUGUAUCGCGUGGGACCUGGGGGCAGCCCAAGGCCGCUGGGCUCCGGACGCUGAAGCCCUCCCGAGAAGUAGGACCCCUGAGAGAAAAGGCCACUGCCUGCACCUGGACCAGAGAAGAAGGACGCCUGCUGACCCUGACCUCGCAGAAGCACCCUGCCGGGGCUGGGGCUGAAACGCACCACGCUCCAGGUGCAGCACCGGGAGCGCGGCGGCCACCACGUGCACAGGCGAGCAGCGGGCAGGGACAUGCGGCAGCAGGGCAACCGUGCCCGUGAUGCUGGCCCUGGCUGCCCGGCCGUCCCAGCGUCCGCCGUGCCCCUCCGCGGUGAGCCCUGCCCCUGUGUCAUCAGCGGGUCCCCUGUGGGCCACCCUGCAUCUCUGUGAGUAUCUUGGCUCUCAUCAGGCUUCCCCAGUGAGUUUUAUCACCUACUGCCUAUUCUUGCCUGGACCAGUUAUUACUAUGACAGCUGCCAGAUGAUGAUCCGCUUAACUCAGCUAUUCCUACUCAUUAAUUAGACGGCAUUCUUCUGGAAGCAAGAGUUCUUCCAAGUCACUAUUAAACACAAAACAAAACAAAACACCUCUCCUAGCUCUGCUCAUUGCGAGGGCCUGCAGCAGCAGUGAGCACACCCACCCUGGUCUUGGCUUCGAAAUACUGUUCUCCACGGAAAGGAGACGGGGCGCCUUGGGGAACGGCUGGUGCCCAAACUAGACAACACAGCGGGAGCCUGUGCCAGAAGUAAGGAAGUGCUCAAACUGACGGGGAGCUCAAACACAAGUGAACUAGAAUGGGCUCCCACUCGCCAACUCUGGGCAUCAAAAUGAAUAAAGGAAUGGAUUAUAACACACUGAAUGAAAAUAAAAUUCCCUAAGCCCACUGGCAUUUAAAACAGUUUAAGGAAGAGCAGGGAAAAGGUAAACCUCUUCUCUACAGAAGAAUGCUGACUAGGAAGGUGGAAGGACUGAGAAACAGUAAAAUUACCAUUUUACAUGGUAAUCGCUGAUCCAGGCGAGAAGCAGCCAACAGGGAAACCACACCUUACGGCGAUGAAUGCUGGCAGACACGGCCACGGCCACGGGGUGAGACCCAACGCAACAGCACCGGGACAGACGCACCCUGCAAGCCUCUGCGGGCGGCGGGCUGACGUGGACACGGUGUCACGGGGACGGCUUCCCACCAAGAGUGUCCAACCUGAAUCUACCCA